GACGAACGCUGGCGGCGUGCUUAACACAUGCAAGUCGAACGGAAAGGCCUGCUUUCCCUUGUGGAUUGCGGGUACUCGAGUGGCGAACGGGUGAGUAACACGUGAGUGAUCUGCCCCCAACUUGGGUAUAAGCCUGGGAAACUGGGUCUAAUUCCCGAUAGGACUGCAGGGUGGUGCCUGUGGUGGAAAACGAUUUUCUAGUGGUUGGGGAUGAGCUCGCGGCCUAUCAGCUUGUUGGUGGGGUAAUGGCCUACCAAGGCGGCGACGGGUAGCCGGCCUGAGGGGGUGGACGGCCACAUUGGGACUGAGAUACGGCCCAGACUCCUACGGGAGGCAGCAGUGGGGAAUAAUGCACAAUGGGCGGAAGCCUGAUGCAGCGACGCCGCGUGGGGGAUGACGGCCUUCGGGUUGUAAACUCCUUUCGACCGCGAGGAAGCCACCUGGUUGGAAGGGUGGUGACGGUAGUGGUAGAAGAAGCACCGGCUAACUACGUG
rnacentral:rRNA from 1 species